AUACGGAGGGUGCAAGCGUUGUUCGGAAUCACUGGGCGUAAAGGGCGCGCAGGCGGUUUUACAAGUCAGAUGUGAAAGCCCACGGCUUAACCGUGGAAGUGCAUUUGAAACUGUAAGACUUGAGUAUCAGAGGGGAAGGUGGAAUUCCCGGUGUAGAGGUGAAAUUCGUAGAUAUCGGGAGGAGUACCGGUGGCGAAGGCGACUUUCUGGCUGAAUACUGACGCUGAGGCGCGAAAGCGUGGGGAGCAAACAGGAUUAGAAACCCGAGUAGUCC
rnacentral:rRNA from 1 species